rnacentral:tRNA from 1 species
AUUGUAGUUCAGUUGGUAAGAAUGCCUGAUUGUGGCUCAGGCGAUCACGGGUUCGAGUCCCGUCUUU